ACAGGAGGCAGCAGUAGGGAAUCUUCGGCAAUGGACGAAAGUCUGACCGAGCAACGCCGCGUGAGUGAAGAAGGUUUUCGGAUCGUAAAACUCUGUUGGUAGAGAAGAACGUUGGUGAGAGUGGAAAGCUCAUCAAGUGACGGUAACUACCCAGAAAGGGACGGCUAACUACGUGCCAGCAGCCGCGGUAAUACGUAGGUCCCGAGCGUUGUCCGGAUUUAUUGGGCGUAAAGCGAGCGCAGGUGGUUUAUUAAGUCUGGUGUAAAAGGCAGUGGCUCAACCAUUGUAUGCAUUGGAAACUGGUAGACUUGAGUGCAGGAGAGGAGAGUGGAAUUCCAUGUGUAGCGGUGAAAUGCGUAGAUAUAUGGAGGAACACCGGUGGCGAAAGCGGCUCUCUGGCCUGUAACUGACACUGAGGCUCGAAAGCGUGGGGAGCAAACAGGAUUAGAUACCCUGGUAGUCCACGCCGUAAACGAUGAGUGCUAGAUGUAGGGAGCUAUAAGUUCUCUGUAUCGCAGCUAACGCAAUAAGCACUCCGCCUG
rnacentral:rRNA from 1 species